UACAGUUUUGGUCUCCUAAUCUGAGGAAAGACAUUCUUACCAUAGAGGGAGUCCAAGGAAGGUUCACUAGACUGAUUCCAGGGAUGUCAGGAUUUCAUAUGAAGAAAGACUGGAUAGACUCGGCUUGUACUUGCUAGCAUUUAGAAGAUUGAGGGGGGAUCAUAUAGAAACUUACAAAAUUCUUAAGGGGUUGGACAGGCUCGAUGCAGGAAGAUUGUUCCCGAUGUUGGGGAAGUCCAGAACAAGGGGUCACAGUUUAAGGAUAAGGGGGAAAUCUUUUAGGACUGAGAUAAGGAAAACAUUUUUUACACAGAGAGUGGUGAAUCUGUGGAAUUCUCUGCCACCGAAGGUAGUUGAGGCCAGUUAAUUGGCUAUAUUUAAGAGGGAGUUAGAUGUGGCCCUUGUGGCUAAAAGGAUCAGGGGGUAUGGAGAGAAGGCAGGUACAGGAUACUGAGUUGGAUGAUCAGCCUCGAAGGGCCGAAUGGCCUACUCCUGCACCUAUUUUCUAUGUUUCUACAAUGUCUCAGAAAUGUCUUGUGGAUUUAGCCAGGCUAAGUAUUGAAUCAAUCAUUGCCAGAACAAUAAAUGUUUGUGCUGUGAUCGAAAUUUUUCACAAAAAAGGCCAUAAAAGCUCUUUAAUUAAGGUAAAUAAUUUUGUCUUUUCAUGAUCUGAUCUGCUUUGAAAUACAGUUUUUUUUUGUGUGAAUUCUUCCUCCUUAUCAGUAUUGUAGCAUAAAAAAAGAUGUUCAAAACAAAUGUGCUUUCUUCUUUCUGAUCAUUUUAUUUAAUUUAUAUUCAUCAUGGAGGGAGUAUAGGAGCAUGAGGCCUCAAAUGCAGAAAAUCAACAGAGCGCUCCAUUCCACCCCUCUCAUCUUUCAUACCCCUUUUUGCCUUUCAGGCUACAGCUCAUGGCGUAAACCGGCAGUGGAUAAAAACAGGAUGACUAAUGGAGAAGGGACGGGGCCCGAAAGAAACUUUGUACUCACUGAUAAAAUUCCUCUCAGAGGCCCCGUGUACAAGCACACCCAGGUCUCGUUGCACCUCCCUUUUCUCCUAAUCUGAUACUAUACAGGUAGCGAGCACUCUGGGAUCAUGGCUGCCUCCGAAUUACAUCAAAACAAUAGCAAGGUUUCCAAGGAAUAAAGGAACAAACUGAAACACCUCCAAUAACCAAUAUUCUAUCCUAUGGGGAGAAGGCAGGAAGGGGAUACUGAUUGUGGAUAAUCAACCAUGAUCACAGUGAAUGGUGGUGCAGGCUCAAAUGGCCAAAUGACCUGCUCCUGCACCAUUCAGGUAAUUGUCAUAUGACAUUGUCUAUUGUCUAUAAAAUGGAAUUCAGAAAAUUAAACAAUGCAUUGUUGCCAAGAGAUGGUCUGUAAUGUUCCGUUGCUGUGGUAGCAUUAGGUCAGUUAAAGAACCUGAUGGGACAGUAGCUUUUUUUGAACUGGGAGUGUGGGACAUUUACACUUCUGCGUCGACUGUGGUAACAGUGAGAGGAGAGAACACGACUUAUCACAUUUCAGUUAUCAGUUGAAAAAAAACUUAACCUGAACAACUUGGUAUUCUUAACAUCUUUAUAUUCUGAGACCUUUCCUGUAAAAGAUCUUUCAGGGGAAGUGUUGUGACUAUCCGCAGAAACUGCGUGCCUUUGUAAUCUUCCCCUCGCAGUAGACAAUACCCUUCUUUGUGUCAUCAGAAGGCUAAAUUCAAUCUGGAAAUUGUCCUCUUGGGGAAAGACCGUCAAUUUUUUUUAAAUAUAUUGUGGCAUUUGGAUCGAUACAGCCACAUUAAAAUAGAAUCAUGUGGAGGUGCAUUUGUGGAAAUGAAAAGCCCCUUGCAUCAGCGGAGGCAAUGAGCUGCAGGUCUACCACAGGUAGGUAUUUGGUGGCUAGUUUAUCUGAGCAGCUGGCUCAGUAUGAACAGCUGGUAGUCGAGCUCAUGGACCAAUAUCCGGAUAAAGAGACCCAGCUACAUGUGAGGGAUGAACAUCAUAAGUUACUGGAAGACCUCAAAGUAAAAUUCCGUGAAAACGAAGAGGCAUUAUUGAAAAAGACGCAACUUGUCGAUGUGUUGCAGAAAAAGCUUGAUAGAAAUAAUCGGGAUCUAGCGUUGCUGGAAGACGUGAACGAAAAACUCUGGGGAAAGCAAGAGGAACUGCGGGAAACAUCACAACAUGUGGAUGUGUUGCAGAAAAAGCUGGAAUGGAAAAAUUGUGCGCUAUUGGAGUUGGCUGAAGAUUUCAGGGAGCUUCAGGACAAAAAUGAUGACCUUGACAACAAGCGUCUGGCAGAGGACUACGCCAGCCAUAUCAAGAUCGUAGAUCUCAAGGAACGUCACAAAUCUGAGUUAACAAAUCUCAAAGAACAAGUGACGCUUCUGUACCAAGAGGCUGUAAGAUCAGAGGACAGGGCUUUGUCAAUGGAAGCUUCGUUCCAGUCUAAAAUCGAGCAGAUCCAAGAGGAGCUGGACAAUGUACAGCUUGUAUCUGCUCAGAAGCUGCUGCUGGACCACAAAGAUGCGGGGAUUGAUUAUGAAGAGGAGGACGACCAGUUUCACCUAAAUGUGAACUGGCCACAAUACGUUGAGGCACAAAAUGAGAAGCUUCAAAAAAUAUUGGAAGCAUAUGAAGAGCAAUACCAGAACAUGCAAAUAAGUGAAUCUGAAUCUGCAGAGGAGCUGAUGAAGUGGCGAGAAAUGGAUAAUAAGCCAACACCGAGAAAUGACAACGAUGGGUGGACUGUGAUGGAAUUAAAGAUGAAUCAAGUUGAGGAAGAAAGAGAAGAUUUGAUCUCAGAACUGCAGGAGCUGAAGGAGGAAGUGGAAGGAUCUUCAGAGACAAGGACAGGGUCAAGGAUGGACAAAGCAGACCACAGCUGGCCAAAAGCUUAUGGAAAAGGAAGAACUGGAAAUCCUUCAAGAAUCAACACAGCAGGAGCGCAGAGAGCAAGAUCCGUCCUGCAAGAAUGAAUUGGCUGAGCUAAGACAUGGACCUCUUCCUGCCAGACCAGCGCCCAGGAAGCAAACUAUUGAAAAUGAGACAUACGAGGAAUAUGACGAGGCUUUGGAGACAGACCCCAGAGAACAGGUGGUGGUGGCACGGAAGGCGAAGAAGCGAGUGAAUUUUUUCAAGCGAUUAUUUACUGCUCGGAAAUGAAGACUUCACGGACCAGAUCACGCUACUUGGUCUUGGCGUACUUUGCGACACCACAUUUGCUUGUUUACGUGUGCCUGGCGAGGCGUUUGUAGAUGCAUUACAGAUGGGAAUGGCACCAAUGUAUUUAUCAGUUGUUAAUGAGUUGAACACUGACCUCAGGUGUAUAAAUGAAUACUGUAUUGUUAAUGUAUGAAAAGUAUGAACGCAGCUCCCAGCGAUGCAUGUUGGUGUUGAACCGGCCGACCCCUGUACGGAGCCAGUUCAGGGCGACCCACUCUUUCCAGGGCAUGUCCGAGCCAAAUGUGGCUGUGGUGUUCGGUGCAACAGUGAAUUGAGGAGGUCGGGAAGUCUGUUCCCAGCUGGUUCUCCAAGCUCCUAGUGUGUUGAAACCGGAGCCACAGAGGGAGAUGGGGCGACGAGAUGACACGCGUUGAGGUCCCAGUUACUGUGAGUCCUGGGCGAGGUGGUGCAAAGCAUGUUUGGUGUCCGAUGGGGCCUUGCACACCAGCCUGUGGGUGAAGUACUCUCUGCGACGCUUGGCGGGUGCGAUACCUGCGAGCAUCGGCAGAAGAUCCGGAGUAGGACGUAGGCAGCCGGUGAUGAUCCGCAUGGUGUCGUUGAGGAUGGCGUCCAGCUUGCUAGUAUGAGCGCUGCGGCAUCAUGCUGGGGCGGUGUACUCAGCGGCGCUGUACACGAGUGCAAGAGACUGGUUCAGAGAAUAGAUGUCCAGGCGCCCCAUGACGAUCCAGCCAAGCAAUGCAGGAGGUUGUUCCGCGCCGAGACUUUAGCACGGAGAGCUUCAAGGAGUUGCUUGUAGGUCAGCUGCCGAUCUAAUUUCCACCCAAGGUAUGUAGGAAAUGGGUUAUAGGGUAGGGGUGACACAUUGAGGGUGACGGUUAGCUGGCGUUGAGCUUUCUUGUUCAGGUGAAAGGCCGUUAUGGUUUUUGCCACACUCAGUUUUAGUCUCCAGGUCUUAAGGCAGCCCGCGAAAAGUACUAUAUCCACUGAAAGCAUAUCCUCCACGUUUGACCAACUCCUGUCCGAAUGCAGUCGGGCCAGGUCAUCUCCGUAUACAUACUGGCGCUAGUUCGUGCGUGGCAUAUCGCUGAUGAAGAGAUUGAAGAGCAUGGGAGCCAGUACCGAGCCUUGGGGGACUCUGUUUCUUAGCCGUUGCAGUCGGCUAGAUUGUCCAUCGCUGGUCUUGAGUACAAUACUGCAGUUGGCCGGGAUGUUAGCAAGGGACCGCACUAAAUGGCGGUCAGUAAUGGUGUGGAGGAGCUUCAAGAUCAGGCCCUCGUGCUACACUAGCGUAGGCGGCAGUGUGGUCCACCGGUGUGACCCUCGCCUUGCGAACCUUUUCCAAACUGUCUUCGAUGUCAUUGGUCAGCUUGACUAUUUGGUGGGUAGUACAAAAGCGUGUUCGGGACACAGAAGAGUGCGAUGGGCCGAUGGUUCCUUGGGUCGUACACACGCUUGUUUGGUUUUGGUAGCGCAAUGAUGGCGGCUUUCCACCAGAUCUUCGGAAUGGACUGACCAAUGAGGCAAGAGAAGUAGAACUCACAGAGCCAGACCUGGCAUUUAGGACCGCAGUGUUUCAGGAAUUCUGGGGGGAUGUUAUCAGGACCCUGGGCUUUUCCGCAUUUCAAUUGAGUGAUGACAGGAGAGAAUUCUGCAGAGGACAAGGCUGCUGACAGGAGCCCAUCAGCGCCUGGAGCUUUCUAAAGAUGAGUGGUUUCCUGUUUGACAGAACGAGUAUGAUUCUUGUCUGUCUCUUUGAAUUGGCCGUUGGCCAGGAGCUGGUGGGCGAUGGAAUUGGCCGUGACAGGGCAAUGCUUUGGGCGGGUACUUCGACCUGUGAGGCGAUUGAAGUUCUUCCAAGCCACCCUACUGGAGUGUGUGAAGUCGAUUCCUUGGACUGUCUCUGCCCACCACUCUGUGCGCUUCUUGUCAAGGCGGAUUGUCAGGUCCGUAGCCUUGGAGGCAGCCUCUUCGCCAAGUUCAGCGUCCAGGAAUGCGUCGUAGCAUGCGUCACACUCUUCGUCCCAUGUGGGGAUGUACCGGCAAUGAUAGCCGCGAGGAAUGGAACUCUUUGCUGCCCUGAUGUGUUUACAGAAGGCCGAGUAGGCUUUGUCCAGAUAGGUGGGGGUGGGAAAGCUGUCGAUCCAGAAGUCCACCAGACUUGUGAACUGGUCCCACCUGGCCUUGCGGAAUUUCCACCUCUUCGCAGGUUUGGUUGCGACCGGCUCGAUGAGGUUGUCCGGGAUAAUCAGAGAUGGGCGAUGUUGUGAUUUCGGGCAGUGAUCCAGGAUGAUACAUUGCGAGGAUGGUCCAUUCAGGUUUGCAAAAGCCAAGUCAGGGUUGGUAGUGGUGUUCCACCUGCCAGAGUGGAAGCUGUCCGGUUGUUUUGGGUCGUACAGGAGUUGAAUGGCAGUAGCUGAGGCCCAGUCUUCUAGUGCAGCGGCAUCUGAGUUAGUUGAACGGUAGCCCCAGGUGGUGCUGUGGCAGUUAAAGUCUCUGGUGUAGAUGCAGGGCGAACCAAAGGUGGGGAUGGAGUCUUUGGGGAGCUUGGUAGAAGGUGGCCUGUAUACAUUGAUGACCGUGACACCUUCGACUUGCGUUGUUGCCCAUUCCACGUCGCAGGCAGGAGGGGAUACUGCGAUCGCUGUCCAUUUUGCUGUGUUCCUUACAAAAGUGGCAAUCCCGUGGGUGUCGCUCUUGGUGCAGGCGGCCAGGGUAUAACCAGGGAUCUUCAGAUGGGAGCCAUCACUUUUAUGAGUCUCUUGGAGCAGGAUUGCAAUGACUUUGUGGGUCUGUAGCAGAUGUUCAAUGAUGGUGGUCUAGGCCUUGGUGAGGUUUUCUGCAUUCAGCUGCAGCAUGGUGAUGCCAUCCAGUUCCACAUCUGUAGAUGCUCGCCCUAAAAAGGGCGCACGCUCCUGGUUGGCGCCAAGCUGCGGCGACUGGGGUUGCAUUAGAGCUGCAAGCUGUUGUUCAUUGUUAUUUCUGCUGCUGUCUGCUUGUUGUCGUUUGCCUGACUGCGGUCAGUUGACAGGGCUCAGCAUGGGGAGGUCGACAACAUGAGCCCUAUGUGUUAUACAAAACGGUUAUAUACGUUUAUACAGGACGAAAUCCGGCUUGUUCAGGGGGUAGUUGGGGGUCGACGAUUGGAUUGAGCCGGGCCAGGAGAAGCCAUUCGAGAAGCUUGUACGGGACACAGUGAGAUGGGUCGAUGGUUCCUUGGGUCGUACACACGCUUGUUUGGUUUUGGUAGCGCAAUGACGGUGGCUUUCCAACAGAUCUUCGGAAUGGACUGACCAAUGAGGCAAGAGGAGUAGAACUCACGGAGCCAGACCUGGCAUUUAGGACCGCAGUGUUUCAGGAAUUCUGGGGGGAUGUUAUCAGGACCCUGGGCUUUUCCGCAUUUCAAUUGAGUGAUGACAGGAGAGAAUUCUGCAGAGGAAAAGGCUGCUGACAGGAGCCCAUCAGCGCCUGGAGCUUUCCAAAGAUUAGUGGUUUCCUGUUGGACAGAACGAGUUUGAUUCUUGUCCGCUUCUUUGAAGUGGCCGUUGGCCAGGAGCUGGUGGGUGAUGGAGUGGGCCGUGACAGGGCAAUGCUUUGGGCGGGUACUUCGACAAGUGAUGCGAUUGAAGGUCUUCCAAGCCACCCUACUGGAGUGUGUGAAGUCGAUUCCUUGGACAUUCUCUGCCCACCGCUCUCUGUGCUUCUUGUCGAGGCAGGUUGUCAGUUCUGCAGCCUUGGAGGCAGCCUCUUCGCCAGGUUCAGCAUCCAGGAAUGCGUCGUAGCAUGUGUCACACUCUUCGUCCCAUGUGGGGAUGUACCGGCAAUGAUAACCACGAGGAAUGGAACUCUUCGCUGACCUGAUGAGGAAUUUACAGAAGACUGAGUAGGUUUUGUCCAGAUUGGUGGAGGUGGGGGUGGGAAGGCUGGCGAUCCAGAAGUCCACCAGACUUGUGAACUGGUCCCACCUGGCCUUGCGGAAAUGCCACCUCUUCGCAGGUUUGGCUGGGACCGGCUCGAUGAGGUUGUCCGGGAUAAUCAGAGAUGGGGAUGUUGUGUUUUCGGGCAGUGAUCCAGGAUGAUAUGGUGUGGGGAUGGUCCAUUCAGGUUUGCAAAAGCCAAGUCAAUGUUGGUAGUGGUGUUCCACCUGCCAGAGUGGAAGCUGUCCGGUUGUUUUUGGUCGUACAGGAGUUGAACGGCAGUAGCUGAGGCCCAGUCUUCUAGUGCAGCGCCAUCUGAGUUAGUUGAACGGUAGCCCCAGGUGGUGCUGUGGCUGUUAAAGUCUCUGGUGUAGAUGCAUGGUGAACCAAAGGUGGAGCUUGGUAGAAAUUGGCUUGGAAACAUUGAUGACCGUGACACCUUCGACUUGCGUUGUUGCCCAUUCCACGUCGGAGUCAGGAGGGGACACUGCAAUCUCUUUCCAUUUUGCUGUGUUCCUUACGAAAGUGGCAAUCCUGUGGGUGUCACUCUUGGUGUAGGCCGCUUGGUUAUAAAGCUCUGAAUGCAAAAUUAUGUAUAUUUUUUGAGGUGUUAAGGAAUGUUAUUUAACUCUGCUCCUUGGGAGUUAGGAUGUCAGAGAGAGAUUAUAUUGAGAGAUUAUAUUUCUGCUUCGAAAUGCAUUUGUACAUUUAAAGUGGUGCUGCAGAUUUGAGGAAAGCACUGAAUACAUUAUAAUAUAAUUUAUCUAUUACACUACUCUCAUGUUCGUUAUGUUGCCAUUAAGGUACAAUUUAGAAAUGCACUUUUGUUCAUUAUUUUGUUUGACAAAGUUUUUAUUAAAAGUUACAAUUCACUUUGACUGUUUUAUCACCUGUAUUUAUAUUUGACUGAAAAUCACGACCAAAAGAUGGCCUGAAAUUGUGUUACAUGUUUAAUUGUGCCAUAAUGUCUCUAGUAUAGUGGCUACCAGGGGUAUUUAGUUGCACCAUGACUCGCUGCACUUCUAUGGUAACACAAGUAUGCUGGCCACCAGCAUUAAGGAUGUCACACCCCAGCCACUCCACCCCUCUCCCAUCAGGCACGAGGUAUAGAAGUUUGUAAACACACACCUCCAGAUUGAGAGACAGUUUCUUUCCCGCUGUUAUCAGGCAACUGAACCAUCCCACCAACAAUUAGAGAACAGUCCUGAGAUACUUUCUACCUCAUGAGAGACUCUCGGACUAUCUUUAAUCGGAGUUUAUCUUGCACUAAAGAUCAUUCACAUUAUUCCCUUUAACAUCUGUACACUGUGGAUAGUUCGAUUAUAAUCAUUCUUUUGUCUUUCCGCUGACGAGUUUGCACCCAACAAAAGCUUUACACCUGACCAUAAACUAAACUAACUAACUGGUAUUCAGUUGGAACUUGACUCUCCACAAUGGAUGUAAUCUUGGUACAGAUACGUUUCAAGCAAGUUGUGGGUGCUGCAUUAUGUCAGUCUUUUAAUUAUUGUCCUGCUGAGUUAUCAAAUACAGGGUAUAUGGUUUUGUUGGCAAGGCAUUGAUUACAUAGAACAAAGAACACUAAAGCACAGGACCUGGCUCUUCAGCCCACCGUCUGUGCCGAACAUGAUGCCAAGACAUCCUUAUCUACCUGCACAUAAUUCAUAUCCCUCCAAUCACUGUAUAACCAAAUGCUAAUCUACAAGUCUGUUACUUGCACAAUUGUACCGGCCUGCAUCCCCCAGCAAGCUCCAGGGGCUCCCACACAUCUCACCUUAAAGAUGGGAGAGAGAGAUCAGCCAUGAUUGAAUGGUGCAGUAGACUAGAUGGGCUGAAUGGCCUAAUUCUACUCCUAUCACUUAUGACCUUAAAGUUAAUCAUUCUCAUUUAAUAUUUUCACCCUGGGAAGUAGGUUCAUAGAAACAUAGAAAAUAGGUGCAGGAGUAGGCCAUUCGGCCCUUCGAGCCUGCACCGCCAUUCAAUAUGAUCAUGGCUGAUCAUCCAACUCAGUAUCCUGUACCUUGUGUCUCUGCUAAACAUUUCAUUGCUUGCAUCACUUAUAUAUUUGCAAUGUUAGCAUGGGUUAAUUGGCAAAUUAGAUUUAGGCUGAUAUUUCUAUUCUUAGAAUAUUAACAUGUUCUGACGCAUUAUGUAUGAAUUCUGUCUUACAGGUUCAAGAUAUGGCAUUCCUGUCAUUUUCAUAGAAUAAUAGCUGUGUUAUCUUUGU